GAUGAAGAACGUAGCGAAAUGCGAUAAGUAGUGUGAAUUGCAGAAUUCAGUUAAUCAUCGAAUCUUUGAACGCACAUUGCGCCCUUUGGUAUUCCUUAGGGCAUGCCUGUUCGAGCGUCAUUUAAACCUUCAAGCUAAGCUUGGUGUUGGGUGACUGUCCGCUUCACGGCGGACUCGCCUCAAAAUUAUUGGCGGCCGGUACAUUGGCUUCGAGCGCAGCAGAAACGCGAACUCGGGCCCGUCGUAUUGGCUCCCAGAAGCUAUCUUCACAAUUUUGACCUCGGAUCAGGUAGGGAUACCCGCUGAACUUAAGCAUAUCAAUAAGCGGAGGA
rnacentral:misc_RNA from 1 species